UGCAUCGGCCGGGAAUCGAACUCGGGCCGCGCGCGUGGCAGGCGAGCAUUCUACCACUGAACCACCGAUGC
rnacentral:tRNA from 1 species